rnacentral:rRNA from 1 species
CCCUUAGAUGUCCUGGGCCGCACGCGCGUUACACUGAUGCAUUCAACGAGCUUAUAACCUUGGCCGAGAGGCCUGGGCAAUCUUGUUAACGUGCAUCGUGAUAGGGAUAGAUUAUUGAAAUUAUUAAUCUUGAACGAGGAAUUCCUAGUAAACGCAGAUCAUCAAUCUGCAUAGAUUACGUCCCUGCCCUUUGUACACACCGCCCGUCGCACCUACCGAUUGGAUGGUCCGGUGAAGCCUCGGGAUUGUGGUUCUUGCCGCUUUAUUGUGGCGUGACCGCGAGAACUUGUCUAAACCUUAUCAUCUAGAGGAAGGUGAAGUCGUAACA